UACGGGGGGGCAAGCGGUUGUUCGGAAUUACUGGGACGUAAAGGGCGCGUAGGCGGACAUUUAAGUUAGAGGUGAAAAGCCCAGGGCUCAACCCUGGAACUAGCCUUUAAUACUGGAUGUCUUGAGUUCGGGAGAGGUGAGUGGAAUGCCGAGUGUAGAGGUGAAAUUCGUAGAUAAUUCGGCGGAACACCAGUGGCGAAGGCGACUCACUGGCCCGAUACUGACGCUGAGGCGCGAAAGCGUGGGGAGCAAACAGGAUUGAGAAACCCGU
rnacentral:rRNA from 1 species